UAUUAAUAAUCUUCUUUUGCUUUAUAG
rnacentral:piRNA from 1 species